CUCCCAUUACCCUCGCACUUCGCCCUUCGCCCUUCGCCCUUCGCCCUUAGCCUUCGUCACUCGAAACCGCUCAUCGAAUCCGCUCAUCGCACUGUUAAUCUUCGUCACUCGCCCUUAGCCCUUCACCCUUCUUCAUCUUGUUAAUCUUCAUCUUCGUCUUCCGCUCAUCGAAUCCGCCCAUCGCACUGUCUCCUACCUCGGCGACCUUAUGGCCUCCUUCAGUUCAAAGAUCUCAAUGCAGAGAAGUGCCCUUUUCAGCGGACUUAUGCGACUCAGGUUUAGUCACACAAAAUUCUAAAUCAACUGGAUAUGGGUCACGGGGUCAGUGUGGGUGGUGGUCAACUGGAUAUAUUCUAAGAUCUAUAUAUGAUCUUGCUUGCUUAGAGGAUGAAGUUGAUUUCCUCAUAGCUCAAUCAGAGCAAGACCGACUGAAAAGGAAUAAUGUCAAAUUCUGGCAUGUUUUUCGAUCAAAGGAAAUCAAAUUGGCUUUCCUUGUUGGAGGAGGACUUCUGGUAAAAAAGUUCACAAAUGUUUCCGAAACAAUUAUGUAUGAUCUAAGGGAAGAAAGUUUAAGAGGGCUAGAGGAAAGAAGAAUAGCAAAGGACUUAGGAUUUAAGUUGUAUUGUUUCUGUAUUUUUCUUCCGUUUUUAGUUUUAGAAUUUGAACUCGAGAUUUAUUUUGUAUUGGAGUAUUAGUUUUUUAAUGUAUAAAACAAUUAUAGCAAAAAUUAUAUAUGUCACUA